rnacentral:snRNA from 1 species
AUCGCUUCUCGGCCUUUUGGCUAAGAUCAAGUGUAGUAUCUGUUCUUAUCAGUUUAAUAUCUGAUACGUCCCCUACCCGGGGACCAUAUAUUAAAUUGAUUUUUGGAGCAGGGAGAUGGAAUAGGGGCUUGCUCCGUCCCCUCCACGCAUCGACCCGGUAUUGCAGUACUUCCAGGAACGGUGCACCCUCU